AAAAAUACAGGGACCUCUAGCUCAUUAACAGGGUUCUGAACUUCGGGAUGCUCCUGCGAAUCGUUAAUAUUCUCAGGACUAAAUGGACUUUGUUGCGUCUCUGUGGAAAGUUCUGUAGGUGUUGGGGCUAUUUCAGUAUCAUUUGUGUGGAGUGUCACAAGGGUAACUGUAGCGUCUACGCCAUCCUCAGCCGGAAGCACCACAUGUGUUAAGCAUUUG